CACGUGGUUCAGAACCACAUGAUUAUUUAACCAAAGCUCGGGUUGACUACACUUCAACUAACUGGAACCUACUGUAACGAUCUUCAGGAAAAGUUCUCUACAUAUAACCAAUUUAUCUAUGUUAGUGGUACAUUGAGGAGGUGUCCAGAGACAAAGAGACAAGACAGCAAAUGAAUGGACAAGAUGCUGUGAGGGAGUAGGAUUCAGAAGAAUGUCCCAGAGCACAACACAGCCUGGAAUUCACAGAAAUACUGGGGAAAAGGCACAGUGGACUUCCCACUUUCCGUGGAUGGGGUCUCGACCCAUUUUAAGAGGCUAUUAAAGGAAAAAUUGACUGCAGGAGGCAGGUCAACUUGGAAACAUGGGAUAUAUUUUUUUAAAUUUUAGGCAUGGAGAUAUGGAAGGAUGCAUAGAGGCCUGGUAUAUAACUAAGAGCAGGGACUCUGGAGUCCGAGGGUCUGUGUUGGAAUCCCAACUUUGCCACUUAUAACCAUGUACUUUUGCGCAAGUUAUUAAAGCCUCUGAGACUCCAUUUCCUUCUCUGUAAAUAGGGAAAUAAUAAUACCUCAUAGGGUUGUCAAGAGGAGUAAAUGAAGCACAAUUGUAAAGUGGAUGGACAGGAGCUUAGUGUAUACAAAUUGCUGUACAAUAGCUUGUUAAAUAAUAUAAAUAAA
rnacentral:lncRNA from 1 species